UACGGAGGGUGCAAGCGUUAUCCGGAUUUACUGGGUUUAAAGGGUGCGUAGGUGGGUAGGUAAGUCAGUGGUGAAAUCUUCGAGCUUAACUCGGAAACUGCCAUUGAUACUAUCUGUCUUGAAUACUUUGGAGGUAAGCGGAAUAUGUCAUGUAGCGGUGAAAUGCUUAGAUAUGACAUAGAACACCAAUUGCGAAGGCAGCUUACUACGGGAUCAUUGACACUGAGGCACGAAAGCGUGGGGAUCAAACAGG
rnacentral:rRNA from 1 species